CUAAGGCCGAUGGCGACCGGCGCACGGGUGAGUAACACGUAUCCAACCUGCCGAUGACUCGGGGGAUAGCCUUUCGAAAGAAAGAUUAAUACCCGAUGGCAUAGUUCUUCCGCAUGGUGGAACUAUUAAAGAAUUUCGGUCAUCGAUGGGGAUGCGUUCCAUUAGGUUGUUGGCGGGGUAACGGCCCACCAAGCCUUCGAUGGAUAGGGGUUCUGAGAGGAAGGUCCCCCACAUUGGAACUGAGACACGGUCCAGACUCCUACGGGAGGCAGCAUG
rnacentral:rRNA from 1 species